rnacentral:ncRNA from 1 species
AGUCGGCCAUCACUGGAAAAAGAGGCCUAUUGGACUUGCAAACUUUAUAUGACUUCUGCCCAGUGCUCUGAAUGUCAAAGUGAAGAAAUUCAAUGAAGCGCAGGAAAACGGCUGGAGUAACUAUGACUCUCUUAAAGUAGCCAAAUGCCUUGUCAUCUAAUUAGUGACGCGCAUGAAUGGAUGAACGAGAUU